rnacentral:rRNA from 1 species
AUGGGCGCAGCCUGAUGCAGCGACGCCGCGUGAGGGAUGGAGGCCUUCGGGUUGUAAACCUCUUUCGCCAGUGAAGCAGGCCUGCUCCUUGUGGGUGGGUUGACGGUAGCUGGAUAAGAAGCGCCGGCUAACUACGUGCCAGCAGCCGCGGUAAUACGUAGGGCGCGAGCGUUGUCCGGAAUUAUUGGGCGUAAAGAGCUCGUAGGCGGCUGGUCGCGUCUGUCGUGAAAUCCUCUGGCUUAACUGGGGGCUUGCGGUGGGUACGGGCCGGCUUGAGUGCGGUAGGGGAGACUGGAACUCCUGGUGUAGCGGUGGAAUGCGCAGAUAUCAGGAAGAACACCGGUGGCGAAGACGGGUCUCUGGGCCGUUACUGACGCUGAGGAGCGAAAGCGUGGGGAGCGAACAGGAUUAGAUACCCUGUAGUCCACGCCGUAAACGUUGGGCACUAGGUGUGGGGGGCCUUUUCCGGGUCUUCCGCGCCGUAGCUAACGCAUUAAGUGCCCCGCCUGGGGAGUACGGCCGCAAGGCUAAAACUCAAAGGAAUUGACGGGGGCCCGCACAAGCGGCGGAGCAUGCGGAUUAUUCGAUGCAACGCGAAGAACCUUACC